rnacentral:lncRNA from 1 species
CUUGGUCAUUCAUCCACUCAAGGCUCAUUCACCAGAGUCCUGACAGUGCCGAGGCCUGCACCUGCAGAGCCCCGGAGCCCUCCAGCCCGGGGAGGGAACCGAGUUCCAGUGGGGAGCGGGUAGAGCCGGUGCAGCCCUUCAUUUCACAACCCCUGUAGCCUGCCUGGCCUGAGAGGAGGUCAUCGGAUGCACUGAGUGAACUGCUCACCAGGUCCAGGCUCCAGAUCCCAUAGAUGACUCAGGAGAGAGGCACGGAGCACCUCGGAAGCCCGGGAGCACCCCAGUCCACCAGCUCACCAUGACCACCACCCUCACGCUCACACACACACAGCCUCACACACAUAGUCACUUACACGCUCUCUCACACACAUAUUCUCACUCACAUACCCUCAAACACACACGGCCUCACACACAUCUGCUCACACACACACUCUCACACACAUACACUCACACACACUCUCAUAUCAUACCCACACAUAUUCACACUCACACACGCACUCACACACAUACCCAACACAAACUCACACACAAAUACACAUUCACAUCUCCCACCCCCACUCAAACACAAAUAUACACAUACACGCUCACACACACUACACACACAUUCUCCACCCCCACUCAAACACAAAUAUAAGCAUACACAUGUGCACACUUACACCACCUGCACAUACACUCACACGCCCAACACACACACAUUCCCCACUCACACUCAAACGUAAAUACACACAGAUACACACACACUCCCAUACACUCACAUAUGCUUGUACACACACACUCACACAAUCCCCACAUUCACACAAAGACAUUCACACAUACCACAUACACAGUCACACCCCCACACACACUCAGGCACAUGCACACAUACACAUUCACAUAGCCCCCCACUCACGCAUAUAAACUCACACACACUCACACUCAUACACACACACUGACUGAAUCUUGGAAUUCAAAACUCGGACACCGAUUCCUUUUCCUUAAAGCCAUUAUCCCUAGAUAAAUGAAAGGUUCUCAGAAUGAAUAGC